rnacentral:lncRNA from 10 species
GGGAGUUGAUGUACGCAGAGCACGGAUCUAACAAUGUCAACUGUGCUGACAUCAUCCUAGCUGUGCAGGGCUGAUGGGAAUUCAGAAUAUCAAACAUCAUAUCAAGGGCAGUGAGCAGGUGUGACUCAUUUCCCUGGAGAAGUGGGAGAGAGGAAGGGAGAGGGCAGGAUUAUCUCACACUGACACACACACAGCCUUUAGACUGAGCUAUUUGCGUGGCUUAUUUAAAAGCAGCAAAACAAUGUUCUGUCUCUCUCUUCAUUUUUCUACCGGAAACACUUUAUAUUCUAGUCCUAUGUGUCUCAGCAUAGAAUCGAGCCUUUCAACAUCAUAGUGUAUCAUCUAGUGAACUGUUCAGAUGCAACUGAAUUGAAAAGGAGCUGAACAAAAGAUCCUGAGAGAGACUUCAACAAAAAGUAAAAUGGAUUUUAUCAUACUUGAAAAAUCAACAAUUGCAGUCUGGAUUCAUACAUCACUGUCUGAUGCACCCAACUUGAGUCAAAAAGAUGUUUCAAAUCCCACUAGGCUGGAGGCAAAAAUACUCAAGAGUUUAAGAGCGUCUCUUGACAGUGUACAGAAUAAGAUAGCUUCUCAGCUUUCAGCUUUACUUCACGGUUUUAACUAUCAAAAGAAGCAAGCCAUCUGAAGAUUUGCCUGAGACUGAAGGAUCCACUUCUGCGACGACUCCCUCAGGACUUAUAAUGCAGAUGGAACCAGAUUGAGAAAAACCAGCCAACCAACCAACCAACAUGAUGGCUGAACCAGACAAGAGAAGUCCCGAAGUAAAAUACCCACCAAUUACCAGAAUCUGUGCCUGCCAUACAUCGAAGAAUCUUGCUCUGUCGCUCAAGCUGGAGUGCAGUGGUGUGAUCUCAGCUCACUGUAAGUUCUGCUGCCCAAGUUGAAGCGAUUCUUCCACCUCAGCAUCCUGAGCAGCUGGGACUACAGGUACACACCACUGCACCUGGCUAAUCUUUAUAUUUUUAGUAGAAGUGGGAUAUCACCAUGUUGGCCAGGCUGGUCUUGAACUCCUGACUUCAAGUGAUCUGCCUGUCUUGGCCUCCCAUACUGCUGGGAUUACAAGUGUGAACCACCAUGCUGGCCUGUGACAUUUUAAUCUAGUCAAUCAGUCUUGGAAAAUAAAGCCUUGCUUUCUGUGGCACCUAAACCAACUGAUAUGGUUUGGCUCUGUGUCCCCACCCAAAUCUCUUCUUGAAUUGUAAUCCCCAUAAUCCCCACGUAUUGAGGGAGGACCUAUAGGGAAGUGAUUGGAUCCUGGGGGCCAUUCCCGCACGCUGUUCUUGUGAUAGUGAAGGAGUUCUCAUGAGAGCUGAUGGUUUUAUAAGUGUUUGGAAGAUACCCCUUCACGGCACUCUCCCUCCUGCUGUCUUGUGAAGAAGGUGCCUUGUUCCCCUUCACCUUCCACCAUGAUUGUAAGUUUCCUGAGGCCUCUCCAGCCAUGUGGAAUGGUGAGUCAAUUAAACCUCUUUCUUUUAAAAAUUACCCAGUCUCAGGUAUUUCUUUAUAGCAGUGCAAAAACUGACUAAUACACCAACCUCUUUGAUAUCAGUUUCAUGUCAAGAAUAAGAAAAAUAAGGAAGAAAAUUGGGAGAUCGACAUAUUGAAAUUUAAAGAAUAGAAUUGGGUUUGAAAAAAAUGUUUUAG